GGGUUGUGAGGUUAAGCGACUAAGCGUACACGGUGGAUGCCCUGGCAGUCAGAGGCGAUGAAGGACGUGCUAAUCUGCGAUAAGCGUCGGUGAGGUGAUAUGAACCGUUAUAACCGGCGAUUUCCGAAUGGGGAAACCCAGUGUGUUUCGACACACUAUCAUUAACUGAAUCCAUAGGUUAAUGAGGCGAACCGGGGGAACUGAAACAUCUAAGUACCCCGAGGAAAAGAAAUCAACCGAGAUUCCCCAGUAGCGGCGAGCGAACGGGAGGCAGAGCCUGAAUCAGUGUGUUGUGGAAGCGUCUGGAAGGCGCGCGAUACAGGUGACAGCCCGUACACAAAAUGCACAUAUUGUGAGCUCGAUGAGUAGGGCGGACACGUGGUAUCCUGUCUGAAUAUGGGGACCAUCCUCAAGGCUAAAUACUCCUGACUGACCGAUAGUGAACCAGUACCGUGAGGAAAGGCGAAAGAACCCGGCGAGGGGUGAAAAGAACCUGAAACCGUGUACGUACAAGCAGUGGGAGCCUCUUAAUGGGGUGACUGCGUACCUUUUGUAUAAUGGGUCAGCGACUUAUAUUCUGUAGCAAGGUUAACCGAAUAGGGGAGCCGAAGGGAAACCGAGUCUUAACUGGGCGUUAAGUUGCAGGGUAUAGACCCGAAACCCGGUGAUCAGCCAUGGGCAGGUUGAAGGUUGGUAACACUAACUGGAGGACCGAACCGACUAAUGUUGAAAAUUAGCGGAUGACUUGUGGCUGGGGGUGAAAGGCCAAUCAAACCGGGAGAUAGCUGGUUCUCCCCGAAAGCUAUUUAGGUAGCGCCUCGUGAAUUCAUCUCCGGGGGUAGAGCACUGUUUCGGCAAGGGGUCAUCCGACUUACCAACCGAUGCAAACUGCGAAUACCGGAGAAUGUUAUCACGGAGACACACGGCGGUGCUAACGUCCGUCGUGAAGAGGAAACAACCCAGACCGCCAGCUAAGGUCCCAAAGUCAUGGUUAAGGGAAACGAUGUGGAAGGCCCAGACAGCCGGAUGUUGGCUUAGAAGCAGCCAUCAUUUAAAGCGUAAUAGCUCACUGGUCGAGUCGGCCUGCGCGGAAGAUGUAACGGGCUAAACCAUGCACCGAAGCUGCGGCAGCGACACUAUGUGUUGUUGGGUAGGGAGCGUUCUGUAAGCCUGUGAAGGUGGUACCUGUGAGGUUGCUGGAGGUAUCAGAAGUGCGAAUGCUGACAUAAGUAACGAUAAAGCGGGUGAAAAGCCCGCUCGCCGGAAGACCAAGGGUUCCUGUCAACGUUAAUCGGGGCAGGGUGAGUCGACCCUAAGGCGAGGCCGAAAGGCGUAGUCGAUGGGAAACAGGUUAAUAUUCCUGUACUUGGUGUUACUGCGAAGGGGGGACGGAGAAGGCUAUGUUGGCCGGGCGACGGUUGUCCCGGUUUAAGCGUGUAGGCUGGUUUUCGAGCAAAUCCGGAAAAUCAAGGCUGAGGCGUGAUGACGAGGCACUACGGUGCUGAAGCGACAAAUGCCCUGCUUCCAGGAAAAGCCUCUAAGCAUCAGGUAACAUCAAAUCGUACCCCAAACCGACACAGGUGGUCAGGUAGAGAAUACCAAGGCGCUUGAGAGAACUGUGAAGGAACUAGGCAAAAUGGUGCCGUAACUUCGGGAGAAGGCACGCUGAUAUGUAGGUGAAGCGACUUGCUCGUGGAGCUGAAAUCAGUCGAAGAUACCAGCUGGCUGCAACUGUUUAUUAAAAACACAGCACUGUGCAAACACGAAAGUGGACGUAUACGGUGUGACGCCUGCCCGGUGCCGGAAGGUUAAUUGAUGGGGUUAGCGGUAACGCGAAGCUCUUGAUCGAAGCCCCGGUAAACGGCGGCCGUAACUAUAACGGUCCUAAGGUAGCGAAAUUCCUUGUCGGGUAAGUUCCGACCUGCACGAAUGGCGUAAUGAUGGCCAGGCUGUCUCACCCGAGACUCAGUGAAAUUGAACUCGCUGUGAAGAUGCAGUGUACCCGCGGCAAGACGGAAGACCCGUGAACCUUUACUAUAGCUUGACACUGAACAUUGAGCCUUGAUGUAGGAUAGGUGGGAGGCUUUGAAGUGUGGACGCCAGUCUGCAUGGAGCCGACCUUGAAAUACCACCCUUUAAUGUUUGAUGUUCUAACGUGGGCCCCUUACCGGGGUUGCGGACAGUGUCUGGUGGGUAGUUUGACUGGGGCGGUCUCCUCCUAAAGAGUAACGGAGGCACGAAGGUUGGCUAAUCUGGUCGGACAUCAGGAGGUUAGUGCAAUGGCAUAAGCCAGCUUGACUGCGAGCGUGACGGCGCGAGCAGGUGCUGCAGGUCAUAGUGAUCCGGUGGUUCUGAAUGGAAGGGCCAUCGCUCAACGGAUAAAAGGUACUCCGGGAUAACAGGCUGAUACCCAAGAGUUCAUAUCGACGGCGGUGUUUGGCACCUCGAUGUCGGCUCAUCACACGGGCUGAAGUAGGUCCCAAGGGUAUGGCUGUUCGCCAUUUAAAGUGGUACGCGAGCUGGGUUUAGAACGUCGUGAGACAGUUCGGUCUAUCUGCCGUGGGCGCUGGAGAACUGAGGGCUGCUCCUAGUACGAGAGGACCGGUGGACGCAUCACUGGUGUUCGGGUUGUCAUGCCAAUGGCACUGCCCGGUAGCUAAAUGCGGAAGAGAUAAGUGCUGAAAGCAUCUAAGCUGAAAACGAGAUGAGUUCUCUGACUCCUUGAGAGUCCUGAAGGAACGUUGAAGACGACGACGUUGAUAGGCCGGGUGUGUAAGCGCAGCGAUGCGUUGAGCUAACCGGUACUAAUGAACCGUGAGGCUUAACACAACGCCGAAG
rnacentral:rRNA from 1 species